UUUUAGCCCCGAUAGCAGUGGAAAUCCUUUUUGUACGCCUUUUCGGCGGAUAAAAAGAUUGCAACGAAUAGCGGGAAAUGGC
rnacentral:sRNA from 1 species